CUCCUCUCUGCUGCCGCUGCCGUGCACGAGUGUAAACUGGACGCACAGGGCCUCUCAGUCCCCUCUCUGUUCCGCCCGCAUCAGCUCAGAGCAUCAUUCAAGAGAAGAACAACUACUGGAGACACCAAGAAACACGGACAGUAUAGUGUUUGUAACCUGCUGGGGUCCUUGCAGAUAAGGCUGGCAUACUUCUCUUUCACAUUGAACUUUGCUCCUGUUGGUGGAGCUAACUAAGGCAUCCAAUAGGCUUGCUGGAGAUAUUGACAGUCAGCUAGUCUUUACGGAUCUCCUGCCAUAUCAAGUAAUGGCUAGACUACUGGAGUAUUGGCCUGGCGACAAGUGGAAAUGGAGAAAUGGACUCUUUUAUUUUUAUUUUUUUUUAUUUUUGUCUCAAAUAGUGUUAAAUUUUAAAAGGUUUUUGUAUUUCCACUACACGAAUACUUCACAAAUUGGUGGAUUCAAGCGAAUUUCAUGGACACUGAAAAACUGUUUGUGUUAUGCAUAUUAAUUGACUUAAUUGUUUUAAAUGGUUUUAAUUAAUACCAAUUCUGACUUACCCACAAUGCAUCACAGUAGGUGAAAGGUCACAAA